UCAGAGUGGAUGUCACGCCUGAGGAAGUUUGCCAGCACUGGGGCCUGGCCUGCCAGCCAGGGAAACAGGCCAGCUCCCAGGCAGAAGAAGUGGCAUGACCUGUAUCAAAAGAUUGAGAAGUGUCCAAGGAUGUCACAUGGACAGAGAUCUUUGUUCGGUGGUGUGAGGAUUCCACACUCAGAAGCCAGCUGCAGCAAAUGUUGCACAGGGAUCGGCAGGGCAACAGACGGCGGGUCCAGUUCUCCAUGGUGCCGUGGAGCAACAAAGUUCA